rnacentral:lncRNA from 1 species
GUGAAAAUAGUGAGAAUUAUAAAGACAGGAGGCAAGAAUUUGGUGCCCAUCAUAGAGAGAAUUAUCAGGAAAAUGAACAAGUACAAGAAAUUAUCGAAGAGGAAGAAUGUAAGAAUGCUAUGAAGAAUGACUCGGAAGAAAGUGAGGAUGCUAUGAAGAAUGACUCGGACGAAAGUGAGGAUGCUAUGAAGAAUGACUCGGAAGAAAGUGAGGAUGCUAUGAAGAAUGACUCGGACGAAAGUGAGGAUGCUAUGAAGAAUGACUCGGAAGAAAGUGAGGAUGCUAUGAAGAAUGACUCGGAAGAAAGUGAGGAUGCUAUGAAGAAUGACAUGGAAGAAAGUGAGGAUGCUAUGAAGAAUGACACGGAAGAAAGUAAGGAUGCUAUGAAGAAUGGUUCGGAAGAAAGUGAAGUAAAUUCUGUUGACACGGAUAGUUAUGGAGCAACGAGUAGCAUCCUUAACAAUGAGAGAUUAAAGCAUGUAAAGUCAGUUCGGUC